UCGAGCUCUGUCCCAGGAAUCACACGGUGAUCGUCGAGGUCGUGCGGUUCCUCGAGCUCUGUCCCAGGAAUCACACGGUGAUCGUCGAGGUCGCGCGGUUCCUCGAGCUCUGUCCCAGGAAUCACACGGUGAUCGUCGAGGUCGCGCGGUUCCUCUUCCUCCGGCCGUUCUAGAAUCUGGAUGUCGUUUCCGGCAGGGUUCGCUUGCAGCCCUGCCCCUGCAGGUACUACGUCGAAACAAACG
rnacentral:lncRNA from 1 species